AGCGUGGAGACAGGUGGUGCAUGGCUGUCGUCAGCUCGUGUCGUGAGAUGUUGGGUUAAGUCCCGCAACGAGCGCAACCCUCACCUCUUGCUGCCACCAGGUCAUGCUGGGCACUCUAGAGGAACUGCCCCGGUCAACGGGGAGGAAGGCGGGGAUGACGUCAAGUCAUCAUGCCCCUUACGCCCUGGGCUACACACGUGCUACAAUGGCCGGUACAAAGGGAUGCCACGCCGUGAGGCAGAGCCAAACCCAAAAAACCGGUCUAAGUUCAGAUUGGAGUCUGCAACUCGACUCCAUGAAGGAGGAAUCGCUAGUAAUCGCGUAUCAGCACGACGCGGUGAAUACGUUCCCGGGCCUUGUACACACCGCCCGUCACACCACGAAAGCCAGCUGUACUCGAAGUCGCUGAG
rnacentral:rRNA from 1 species